UUAAGAUAGGAAGACCGGGCAACGCCGGGUAUUCAGCUAGUAUUGUAUAAAGUUUGAGCAUCACCGUUCACAUAAUUCAAAAUUUCAUGAAGAAGAUUUGCUUGUAUAGUUCAGUUGAUUUAAAACAGAAGUUUACCAUGAUGCAUUCUGUCUUUUAGGUACACCUACUACCACAACCACUACAACAUCAAAACCAUCAGGUUCUACAACUUCUGUUACAACAACCACACCUCAUCCUAUCUCAAGCACCACUGAGUCUACAAUAACAUCAUUUAUCUCCACUACAAGCCCAAAGGCAUUUUACACACCAUCAAGUCCUCGUACACCUUCACCAGGUACACCCACUACCACAACCACUACAACAUCAAAACCAUCAGGUUCUACAACAACUUCUCCUACAACAACCACACCUUAUCCUAUCUCAAGCACCACUGAGUCUACAAAACCAUCAUUUCUCUCCACUACAAGCCCAAAGGCAUUUUACACACCAUCAAGUCCUCAUACACCUUCACCAGGUAAAUGUCUUUGAUUUAUAACAAUAGACAAUAAGAGCAGCAAUCAGCGCACAAACGAUGCAAUUAAACUAAAACAUUUUUAAAGCUGAACGCAAAAAAAGGUAAAC